AGCAGCCGCGGUAAUUCCAGCUCCAAUAGCGUAUAUUAAAGUUGUUGCAGUUAAAAAGCUCGUAGUUGAAUUUCGGGAUCAAUAUGUUGGUCGUGCCUUGGUACGUACUGGCGUCAUUGGUUUCUACCUUCUGAAGAACCUCGAUGUCAUUAAUUUGGUGUCUUGGGAAAUCAGGACUGUUACUUUGAAAAAAUUAGAGUGUUUAAAGCAGGCUCACGCUUGAAUACAUUAGCAUGGAAUAAUGAAAUAGGACGUUUGAUUCUAUUUUGUUGGUUUCUAGGAUCGACGUAAUGAUUAAUAGGGAUAGUUGGGGGCAUUAGUAUUCAAUUGUCAGAGGUGAAAUUCUUGGAUUUAUUGAAGACUAACUACUGCGAAAGCAUUUGCCAAGGAUGUUUUCAUUAAUCAAGAACGAAAGUUAGGGGAUCGAAGACGAUCAGAUACCGUCGUAGUCUUAACCAUAAACUAUGCCGACUAGGGAUCGGAUGAUGUUAAUUUUUUAAUGACUCAUUCGGCGCCUUACG
rnacentral:rRNA from 1 species